rnacentral:rRNA from 1 species
ACCCGCUGAACUUAAGCAUAUCAAUAAGCGCAGGAAAAGAAACCAACAGGGAUUGCCUCAGUAACGGCGAGUGAAGCGGCAACAGCUCAAAUUUGAAAUCUGGCCUCUCGGGGUCCGAGUUGUAAUUUGUAGAGGAUGUUUUGGGUACCGCCCCGGUCUAAAUUUCUUGGAACAGAAUGUCAGAGAGGGUGAGAAUCCCGUCUUGGACCGGCGGUAGGGCCUGUGUAAAACUCCUUCGACGAGUCGAGUUGUUUGGGAAUGCAGCUCAAAAUGGGUGGUAAAUUUCAUCUAAAGCUAAAUAUUGGCCAGAGACCGAUAGCGCACAAGUAGAGUGAUCGAAAGAUGAAAAGCACUUUGAAAAGAGAGUUAAACAGUAUGUGAAAUUGUUGAAAGGGAAGCGCUUGCAACCAGACUUGAGCGCGGCGGUUCCCCCAGCCUUUUGGCUGGGCUACUCCGUCGUGUCCAGGCCAACAUCGGUUCUGAGGGUCGGUCAAAGGCUCUGGGAAUGUAUCUACCUACGGGUAGACUUAUAGACCAGGGUGUCAUGCGGCCUCUCGGGACCGAGGAACGCGCUUCGGCUCGGAUGUUGGCGUAAUGGUUGUCAGCGACCCGUCUUGAAACACGGACCAAGGAGUCUAACAUCUAUGCGAGUGUUUGGGUGUCAAACCCGGAACGCGGAAUGAAAGUGAACGGAGGUAGGAAGCUUCGGCUGCACUAUCGACCGAUCCUGAAGUUUACGGAAGGAUUUGAGUAAGAGCAUAGCUGUUGGGACCCGAAAGAUGGUGAACUAUGCCUGAAUAGGGUGAAGCCAGAGGAAACUCUGGUGGAGGCUCGCAGCGGUUCUGACGUGCAAAUCGAUCGUCAAAUUUGGGUAUAGGGGCGAAAGACUAAUCGAACCAUCUGGUAGCUGGUUCCUGCCGAGGUUUCCCUCAGGAUAGCAGUAACGUUUUCAGUUUUAUGAGGUAAAGCGAAUGAUUAGAGGCCUUGGGGUUGAAACAACCUUAACCUAUUCUCAAACUUUAAAUAUGUAAGAAGUCCUUGUUACUUAAUUGAACGUGGACAUUUGAAUGUACCGUUACUAGUGGGCCAUUUUUGGUAAGCAGAACUGGCGAUGCGGGAUGAACCGAACGUGAGGUUAAGGUGCCGGAAUGUACGCUCAUCAGACACCACAAAAGGUGUCAAUGCAUCUAGACAGCCGGACGGUGGCCAUGGAAGUCGGAAUCCGCUUAGGAGUGUGUAACAACUCACCGGCCGAAUGCAUUGGCCCUGAAAAUGGAUGGCGCUUAAGCGUGCUACCUAUACCUCGCCGUUAGGGUUGACAUGAUGCCCUAACGAGUAGGCAGGCGUGGAGGUCCGUGACGAAGCCUUGGGGGUGACCCCGGGUCGAACGGCCUCUAGUGCAGAUCUUGGUGGUAGUA